rnacentral:rRNA from 1 species
AUACUGAGGGUGCAAGCGUUAAUCGGAAUUACUGGGCGUAAAGCGCGCGUAGGCGGCCAGGUCAGUCGGAUGUGAAAGCCCCGGGCUCAACUCGGGAACUGCAUUCGAUACUGCCUGGCUAGAGUUUGGUAGAGGGUGACGGAAUUCCAGGUGUAGCGGUGAAGUGCGUAGAUAUCUGGAGGAACAUCAGUGGCGAAGGCGGUUGCCUGGACCAAAACUGACGCUAAGGUGCGAAAGCGUGGGGAGCAAACAGGAUUAGAAACCCCGGUAGUCC